rnacentral:rRNA from 1 species
UACGUAGGGAGCGAGCGUUAUCCGGAUUUAUUGGGUGUAAAGCGUGUGUAGGCGGUUUUAUAAGUCUAGGGUCUAAGCCCGGAGCUCAACUCCGGUUCGCCUUGGAAACUGUAAGACUUGAGUUUGGUAGAGGUAAAUGGAAUUUCUAGUGUAGCGGUGAAAUGCGUAGAUAUUAGAAGGAACACCAGUGGCGAAGGCGAUUUACUGGGCCAACACUGACGCUGAGACACGAAAGCGUGGGUAGCAAAUAGG